CCAGACUCCUACGGGAGGCAGCAGUGGGGAAUAUUGCACAAUGGGGGGAACCCUGAUGCAGCGACGCCGCGUGGGUGAAGGAGCACCUCGGUGCGUAAAGCCCUAUCGGCAGGGAAGAAACAGACGGUACCUGACUAAGAAGCCCCGGCUAACUACGUGCCAGCAGCCGCGGUAAUACGUAGGGAGCGAGCGUUGUCCGGAAUUACUGGGUGUAAAGGGAGCGUAGGCGGGGAUGCAAGUUGGAUGUUUAAACUAUCGGCUCAACCGGUAAUUGCAACCAAAACUGCAACUCUUGAGUGAAGUAGAGGCAGGCGGAAUUCCUAGUGUAGCGGUGAAAUGCGUAGAUAUCGGGAGGAACACCAGUGGCGAAGGCGGCCUGCUGGACAUUAACUGACGCUGAGGCGCGAAAGCGUGGGGAGCAAACAGGAUUAGAUACCCGUGUA
rnacentral:rRNA from 1 species